UGGGGAAUAUUGCACAAUGGGGGAAACCCUGAUGCAGCGACGCCGCGUGAGCGAAGAAGGUUUUCGAAUCGUAAAGCUCUGUCCUAUGGGAAGAUAAUGACGGUACCAUAGGAGGAAGCCCCGGCUAACUACGUGCCAGCAGCCGCGGUAGUACGUAGGGGGCAAGCGUUGUCCGGAAUCACUGGGCGUAAAGGGUUCGCAGGCGGAAAUGCAAGUCAGUUGUGAAAGGCAGAGGCUCAACCUCUGUAAGCAAUUGAAACUGUAUUUCUUGAGAUGUGGAGAGGCAAGUGGAAUUCCUAGUGUAGCGGUGAAAUGCGUAGAUAUUAGGAAGAAUACCGGUGGCGAAGGCGACUUGCUGGACACAAACUGACGCUGAGGAACGAAAGCGUGGGUAGCAAACAGG
rnacentral:rRNA from 1 species